GAUGAACGCUAGCGGGAGGCCUAACACAUGCAAGCCGAGCGGUAUUGUUUCUUCGGAAAUGAGAGAGCGGCGUACGGGUGCGUAACACGUGUGCAACCUGCCUUUAUCGGGGGGAUAGCCUUUCGAAAGGAAGAUUAAUACACCAUAAUAUAUUGAACGGCAUCGUCUAAUAUUGAAAGCUCCGGCGGAUAGAGAUGGGCACGCGCAAGAUUAGCUAGUUGGAGAGGUAACGGCUCACCAAGGCGAUGAUCUUUAGGGGGCCUGAGAGGGUGAUCCCCCACACUGGUACUGAGACACGGACCAGACUCCUACGGGAGGCAGCAGUGAGGAAUAUUGGUCAAUGGGUGCAAGCCUGAACCAGCCAUCCCGCGUGAAGGACGACUGCCCUAUGGGUUGUAAACUUCUUUUGUAUAGGGAUAAACCUACCCUCGUGAGGGUAGCUGAAGGUACUAUACGAAUAAGCACCGGCUAACUCCGUGCCAGCCGCCGCCGUAA
rnacentral:rRNA from 1 species